rnacentral:rRNA from 1 species
GCUAAGUCCGGUGAAGCGGCCGGUGUAAGUCGGAGGGUGCAAGGGUUGUUGGGAAUGACGGGGCGUAAAGGGCGUGUAGGCGGGCUUUUAAGUCUGGGGUGAAAGCCCGGGGCGUACGCCAGGAAGUGCACUGGAAACUGGGAGACUGGAGUACCGGAGAGGAGGGUGGAAUUCCUGGUGUAGCGGUGAAAUGCGUAGAUAUCAGGAGGAACACCGGUGGCGAAGGCGGCCCUCUGGACGGAUACUGACGCUGAGACGCGAAAGCGUGGGGAGCAAACAGGAUUAGAUACCCGUGUAGUC